rnacentral:rRNA from 1 species
UUAUGGCUCAGAUUGAACGCUGGCGGCAGGCCUAACACAUGCAAGUCGAACGGUAACAGGAAGCAGCUUGCUGCUUGCUGACGAGUGGCGGACGGGUGAGUAAUGUCUGGGAAACUGCCCGAUGGAGGGGGAUAACUACUGGAAACGGUAGCUAAUACCGCAUAAUGUCGCAAGACCAAAGAGGGGGACCUUCGGGCCUCUUGCCAUCGGAUGUGCCCAGAUGGGAUUAGCUUGUUGGUGAGGUAACGGCUCACCAAGGCGACGAUCCCUAGCUGGUCUGAGAGGAUGACCAGCCACACUGGAACUGAGACACGGUCCAGACUCCUACGGGAGGCAGCAGUGGGGAAUAUUGCACAAUGGGCGCAAGCCUGAUGCAGCCAUGCCGCGUGUAUGAAGAAGGCCUUUGGGUUGUAAAGUACUUUCAGCGGGGAGGAAGGGGUUAAGGUUAAUAACCUUAGCCAUUGACGUUACCCGCAGAAGAAGCACCGGCUAACUCCGUGCCAGCAGCGGC